UUUUUCUUUAUCUCUAUCCUCGAGUUAUCCUCCUCCCAUUUUCUUCUCUUCUAAACCAAAACUUAAAUAUGAGCUUUCAGAAAUUAAACCCUCGUUUUCAGAAAUCAAAAGAUUCAAACCCCAUUUCUCUUGAACCUAAUCAAAUCUUACAAAUCAAAACUCUUUUCUCUCACAAAUCAGCAUCUCUGUCAAACCCUUGCUGCGGCUAAAUCAUGUCAUGUUCGUAAAUAAUGGUAGAGAUCGAGAAGAAGACGGAGCAGGUGAGAAAGUUAGUUUUGGGUUUUUUCUGUAGGUUACAGUGUAAGAGAGAAAUCGAAGAUGGGAUUAGAACUCGAAUUUUAGAGAAUGAGAAGAUGAAAUGUUACCGCCGUUAACGAAUAAUGGUGAUUGAUGGGUUCUACUGGUUUGAUUCGAUUUGAAAAAGGCAGGAUCUAGUGCAAUUGAAGAUGGUGGUUUCGGUGAUGUUCUACCAAGAAGUUAUGUCUAAAAAUGAAGCUGUUACAGAGGAAAUUGUAAUUAGGGUUUGAAAUUGAACUCAAGAUUGAUGAUGUAUGGAUUUGGUUGAAUUAAGUUUGGUGUUGCUGAGAAAUUCGAGAAGAAGGAUAGAUGGGAUUGUGUUUGGGUUUGAACUGAGUGGAAUCAGGAAUAACCAAUCUUUCAAUCACUCAAACCCUGGAAACCGAUUUCUUAUCUAAAGUCAAAUCAUUAUGUAUGGUGUGUUUGGUUGCAACUCUUUCUAUAGCAUAUGAAUGGAUCCUGCAGAUUUUUGGGUUUAGUUGGUGGUGGUGCCUCAUUUUCUCAGUGUUUGUGAUAUAAGCUCUGGAUCUUCUAUGAGAAUGGGUGGUGGUGGAGGUUAUGCAAGUAAAAGUUGGAGAUUUUGGCAGUAAUUUUUGGAGAUUUUUCAUUCUAGGGUUUUGUUACAGUGGAUAGAGAUUAAAAUCUGUCUACCAUUCAAUUUUAAACUGAUAAUUGUUACUUGAAGUUGACUUAUUUACUGGUUCUUCAUUAUGUCUAACAACACCAGGGAUAAUGAAGUUUGAUGUCUUUGAUUCCUUUGGGUAAAGGUGGUCUUAAGAACAAGCUCUUGGUCACUGGCAUCAAACAGGUAUAUCUCGGCUUAUGAUUCUCUCAUUUGUUGGAUGUAUAUGUCCUGCAAACAUAUUUUUUUUACCAAGUUUAGAUCAUGUUAUGUAAUUUCUCGAACGAAGCUAGUCAGUUAUCCUUUCAUUUUGUUGGUUAAUUGGCAGGCAAGAAAUCACUUAUUUUAAGGUUUGGAAAUUACAGGCUCAUUCUAAUAAUCUAAUCAAUAUGAUUUCAGAUUAUUAGAAGUACAUGGCGUCAACUUUGACAACAAUGUCGUUUGUUGGUUAACUGCAGCCAACAGACGACAUUGUUAAAAUGUUUGUUUGGUAAAUUGUGACUUAAAGUUAAAAUCUUCCAAAUAUUUUUUCUUUAAAUUUAAUUGGAUUAUGGUUGUUGAUGAUUUCUUUCCAAUGGAAUCCAAGCAAUGCCGAUUAUGGUCCUACAGGGUUUUGAUUGAUUUUACUGUAAGGUCCUUAAUGAACCACUAUUUCGUCAAGUUUGAUACCAUGGAGGAAGCCAAAGCUAACCCUACAAAGGUGUAUCCUAGGAUAAGUGGGGAUGGCUGUGCAAUCACUUCUCCUCGGAUGGUUUCAAGAAAAUACUACCUUAUCCUAGUUUGUACCAGCAUCACAAGGAUGGAGUUCAGAAGAAGCUUGGAUCCAAGGUCCGAUGCCAAAUGCAUAAAGCAACGUAGCAGGGGAAAUGGUGAAGCCAAAAGGUCACUCUACCUGCUUGGAUCUUCAUCACUUGCAUGAGUAGUCAUCGACUGAUGACAAAAGCUUCAAAAUACAAAGAUAAUCACGAAUCUUUAAAUCACGAAGCUGGUGACAAAAGCUUCAAAAUACGAAGCUAAUGAUGAAGCUUUAAAUCACGAAGCUGAUAACAAAAAGCUUCAAAAUACGAAGCUAAUCACGAAGCUUUAAAUCACGAAGCUUCAAAACACGAAGCUGGUGACAAAAGCUUCAAAAUACGAAGCUAAUGAUGAAGCUUUAAAUCACGAAGCUGAUAACAAAAAGCUUCAAAAUACGAAGCUAAUGACGUAUUUUCACAUGGUAUAACUCAAGUGUGACGUCGACGAUGGCAUGAAGAUGUCAUCGUCGUUCUUUUCACAUGUAUUUUAACAUGAUACAUCCUUGAUGUAUAUCAUAAAUCAGGAUAACGAUGAGACAAAGCUUUACAACGAUGAUUCAAAGUCCGGUGGGGGUGCCCAAAGAGGAUGAUUGUUGCUAGCCAAAGAGGCUAGCUAAAGAUGAUCGUUAGCACAUGUCUUUGUAUCUUCGCCUACGCACCGAUAUCUACUGCCAUGUGAAGCUGUAUGAUGAUAGAGGCAUAUCUUCAUGAAUAAGAGAUCGAGAUAUGAAGAUAUCUCUUUCAGAUCAUCAGUUCAUGAAGAUAUUCCUUACCAAUGAGAUAAAGAUAUCUCUCUCACUGAUCUUCAUUCAUAUGAUAGCUCUAGCCUAGUCCGAGAUUUCUAAAAGAGCCAGCUGACCUAUAGUCGACGAUGAUCCGAAGCCUUGCUACGAUACCAAAAAUUCGAAGAGUUCAAGCUGAAGCUCAAAGCAACAGAGUUACACGAAAGUUCCAAGUAUCAAUUUUUACGAUGGCAUAGAGUAUUAAUACUUUGAGCUUGCAUCUCUUCAAUGAUCUCCGUGCUUUCAACUUCUUAUACUUUGGUCCAACGAUGGCACGAAGAUGACACAUGAUUCUUAUGCUUUGGUCCAACGAUCUUUGUGUUUUCAACUUUGUGCUUUAAUUGCAAAUUAAUACGACGAAUGAAAGCACAGUUUAAUUGCAAGAAGGAAAGCACGAAGCUUCCCAAAGAAGUACUGGAAAUAUAGCUCAGUAAUGCCGAAAAAGACGACGUCUGACUCAACAUAUUACCUAAUCAAUACUUCUUAUUACGUCAGGCCUUUUACCGAAGAAUGAUGCGGGAAUUCUCAUCGGAGGCUAUAUUUCCAGGCACAAAUGAGCCAAAGUCCGAUGCUCGUAGUGCUUGCCAAAGCACUAAGCUGGUGCUUGCUGGAGCAAUCCAGUCCCACUCCGGUGAUAUGUACCUGCGAUCUUAACAGUGAUGCAUCUCCCAUCCAAUCACGAUGAUAUGUACACACCCAACUAGAUAAAAGAAUAACGGGGCACGAUUAAAGAGGAGUUGAAGUUUAACUCAAAAAUCUUCCAAAGAGGAUCCCGCAGGUCAAGCUUUCUCCCAUUCUUGUGUGGAUAAAUGGUAUGGCUGGAUUGAAUACUGCCAAAGCAGCGGAAAACGCCACGCCAGUGCUUCAAUUCUAGCUUUGGUUCUACGUCCGACAAUGUCCAACAAUUCUGAUGUACCAACGUGCCAAGACGAUAAUGGUAAAGAUGCCAAGUCGAUGCGUAGUCUGACGUCGACGACAGCAUGAAGAUGCCAAGUCGAUGCCUAGUCUGAUGUCGACGAUGGCAUGAAGAUGCCAGAUGUUGACGACGAUGGGUUAACCUACUUUCUACACGAGGAGUUAAUUACGAAGCAUACUUCAAGAAGGUCUGUGACUGGCACGAUCAUAAUGAACGAGGUUGCUGCAGUCUAGUUCAUUCCCAAGUCCUAAGCUUAGAUAGGACGAUCAACAAAUGAAGCAGAUAAUAACUCUAUUCCAGUGUGCAAAGUGAUGCCGAUGCCUAAGAAGUACAAAAUUCACCCAAGUACAAGUCCAGUGACGACGAUGCAAGGUCUACCAGUGUACAACUCAAGCCCGAUGACUCUUCUUCCACCCCGAUGAUACAGAGCACCAGCCGAAGUCCGAUGCUGGUAAUGCUUGCCAAAACCCGAAGCCGACCGCAGAUGCACCAAAGAACGCCAGCAACGAUGAACCAGAGUCCGAAGAUAAGGACGAAAAUGACUCCAACGAUGGUGGUCCAACGUACCAAGACGAUGAUGAUGCAGGCUUCCACCAUUCAGGUUCCAACAACGAAGGCUAUGCUAUUCAUCGAAGACUCAGUUGACGAAGGUUCCACCAACGCAGGCUCUGCUGACGAGGAACCAACAACAAAGGUUCUUCAACGGUGACAUGCACCCGUUAUUCUUCGACCAUACUUCAUGAAGAAACGAAGAUGCUCUACACCAAAGAACAAAGUGAACCCGCACACUACGCCAACCCUGAUGAUAAGGAAGAUUCUAGCCUUCCCACAACAAUCCGAAGUCUCUCCACGAUGAUUCAUAGCCCAAAAAUGAUGAGCACAUACAGCUCAAGUUCAAGAAAACUGCUUCACAACAAUCCCAAGAUACAAAGCCCCUUGAUUAAUCCAAAGAUGGUUUCAUGUCACUGGUGUGACAUGAAUGAUGCAGCUCCAAAUAUCCAUUCCAACAACCAUACAGCUCCAAUUAUUGCUAUUCGUUAUCAUUGCUCACCUGGUGCUCAUACUAUAGGAACGAUGCUACAAGGUUGCCGUGAUGACCAAUUGAUCGACGAAAUCCAUCAUUGUAGUCUCUGCUACUACAGUGAUGUGCUUGCCGCAAAGAAUUCGUUGAAGCAAUCCUGAAGCUAUUGGAUGUUACCGUUGUUGUUGCAAAGAUAUUGCGGCCCCAAACGAAGUCCCUCCGCGGAUACAAGAAUGGGGCAAUGUCGUGAAAGCGUGUCCAUGCAAGGUGAGAAAAACGAGGCACAGUUGCUGAGAUUUCUUGUCUAUGGCAAACAUGCCGCUGACAAUGAUAUGUGGUAAAGAAGGAAGGCUGAAGAUCCUUCGUUCUCCAUCUAACUUCUAUUCUUUGGAAAAUUGUACAAAGUACGAUGUAGAAAAUGCGAAGACAGUUUUCCCUCUAACUUCAACUGACGCCACAGUCAGAAGAAAAGGGGCAAAUUGUAUAUGUAUUAUUUUGACGAAUAAAUUGUAUGAUGACGAAGUAGUUACUCCGA